CCAGAUCUUGGGGACAAUGCCGGACAAACUGCGGGAGGUCGACUUGACUGUCAUUGGCCAUGAGACGUGCGCCAGCUAUAAAUACCACUAGGACAGCGUAAGGGACAACAUGAUGUGUGCGGCGGACCCUGUUCCAGAGCUCAUGCACCUGCACUUGAUCCAGGUCUGUGGUCAGCCGUGUUGCCUGCCAAACCCUGGCCUUGACUUCACCUUCCUGUUGGCCCCGACUCUGCAGGAAUCUAAAGAACGGGCCGGCAAAUCUCCUUCAGAAAAUCAAAGAGAACGGAAUUUGAGCUGAUCGGGUGGGGUUCGGAGUUUAAUUUGGAAGUUUAUCUACAGAUGUGUGGAAAGACGGCACAUAACUCACUACAAUGACUGCCCUGUGAUCCCUUUCACAAACUGCUGCUAGGUGGUUUAAUCCAGUUUAUUUUUAUCAAGCAAAAUGCAUUGAAAGAAUGAAGGGAUUGUUGCUAGCUAGCAGCCUGCUCAGUGCUAGAAGAGAAGCUGUCUUCUUCCCUUAUAAAAGUUUACCACAGCAAUUUUACAGUUUUCCCAUGCUUUUCCAGUUGAUAUACUAUGCAUGCCAUGGUUUUUAAUAUGCAUUAAUAUACUUGUGUGGGCUAAGCUUUACUGCGCUUUCACUAUAGCUUUAUUACACUUUGCUAGGCUAAUUUAUGACUCACUUUUAUAUUAGAGCAGUUGUCUCUACAGAACGCUCUCCAGCAUGGGAUGGGAUCACUGUCCUUUUAGAUGGCGCUGGCUCUUGCUUUACUAUAGACUCUUCACAUAUAUAUAUAGAAGGGAAGUAGAACUAAAGAGCAGCCCCAGAACUACUGAACUCAAAAUCUAAAGAGGGUCCUCAUAAUGUUACAGUAGUCACGCAGUACCUGAAAUGUUAAAAAUAUCUGUAUGACCCGAGUCAGCAGGGGGGUUGCAAGCGGUAAGCCGGGGAUACUGAUAAUAAUUGGGUAAAUAAAUAAAAAUAUCUGUAUGACUCUAGAGUGCAUGGAUUAUAGCCAAAUGCAACCUGGCAGUAGAGGGUGAUAGACAGAUGGACACCAAUUGCAAUCACAACUGCUCAGAACGAUUGCAGACGUCGUAAAGCACUGCUUAAAGGAAGUCAGAUCGCAGAGCUUCUUGUUCACUGCUCAGACCUCUCCAUAUAGUUUGGAAACAGAAACCCAGAGGCA